UAGAAGUGCCUAAACAUGUCC
rnacentral:siRNA from 1 species